CGCGGGGUGGAGCAGCACGGUAGCUCGUCGGGCUCAUAACCCGAAGGUCGCAGGUUCAAAUCCUGUCCCCGCAACC
rnacentral:tRNA from 2 species